rnacentral:rRNA from 2 species
GAAUGCUGACAUAAGUAACGAUAAAGCGGGUGAAAAGCCCGCUCGCCGGAAGACCAAGGGUUCCUGUCCAACGUUAAUCGGGGCAGGGUGAGUCGACCCCUAAGGCGAGGCCGAAAGGCGUAGUCGAUGGGAAACGGGUUAAUAUUCCCGUACUUGGUGUUACUGCGAAGGGGGGACGGAGAAGGCUAUGUUGGCCGGGCGACGGUUGUCCCGGUUUAAGCGUGUAGGUGUGUGUUCCAGGUAAAUCCGGUUCACUUUAACACUGAGGCGUGAUGACGAGGCACUACGGUGCUGAAGCAACAAAUGCCCUGCUUCCAGGAAAAGCCUCUAAGCAUCAGGUAACAUCAAAUCGUAC